rnacentral:lncRNA from 1 species
UAUUUCAAAUAGGCAUUGGAGGCGCCACACACUUGGUGUCUAUUACGUAUUGGAAUUAUCAUUCAUCAUAUGACCAUCAUGAUAUACUUUUAGAUUAAUGCUCAGAUUGACCGAGCCACACUCGGGCCUGAACAUCUGUUUGUUGGAUGCACUUGGUGUCAUAUUAAUGUUGGACCUGAUCAGAAUUUUCAAUGGAGGUGCCACACACCUGCUGAAGAGAUGUUUGGGGCAAAACUUAUUGCUAGAAGUUGUUUAGAGAAAUAAUUAGUUAUGAACCUACCCAUGGAUGCACUA